UUCGGUCUUAACUGUUCGAAGGCCAAGAAAGAAUGACUUUGGCAUUUGCAUGGAUCUCUCCGCUAGAGAUUUUCUUGAACAGAUCCCUCUGCUCUUUGAGGAAACUGUUGAGGCUAUAAUUAUCAUCUUCCUGCUGGCUCACUUCAUCUCCUUUUGCGACAUACCUGGACGCGAUCUUCUCCAGCGAGCAAGUUGAAGACGAUAUGGUUCUCCGGUGAGCAGACUCAACGAGAUUCCUUGGCGGAGACAGAGGCAGAGACUCCGCAGGAGUAGACUUGAAGGUUGGGCGGGAAGGGGAUUGGAUCCCCUGCGGCUGAGGUGCAGGGGAGGUUGGUUCCGUUUGGAAGCGGGACCUCCGCUGAAGAUGCUGGCGUGGGUGUGGGCUUGAGGAUGUUGGAGAACCAUCUGCGGACUUCCGCAGCAGGGGAUCCGUCCUCCUCCCAAGAAUGAUUAGUAAAGGUGUCUGAUUUGUUGCGACUGUGUUUAGCUGAUUUUGUUAGUAUCUCGUUGCUCACCCCUUCCCCUCCUCUAAACCUGUUUCACAUUCUCGUAAUUAUCCAAUAAUCAACAAUGCUUUUUAUCAUGAUGCUAAAUGGUCAAUAAAAAUAUUGUUAUAUUAAAUUCUAAACAUAAAUUUUAAUAAAAAAUCGAACCAAUUAAUUUCAAAACCUAAUUAAGCAGAACCAAAAUCAAAUUAAUUUCAAAACCUCUAGUCUUCGCCGCUGGAGUUCUCCUCUGUACGCCACCGUCAACAGUUCUUCUCCUCUGCCUCUCGCCGGAGCUCACCGGUGGUUCGUCGGACCUCUGCCUCUUCGAGUCUUCACUUUGAUUCGCGACUCUGUCUCUCUGCCUCGACCUCCCAUUCUUCCCGCCGGAGUAUCUCUCAUUUUCGAUUCUCUUCUUCUUUCGUCGGUGGCUCGCCGGAGCUCAUCGAUUGAGUUUCAGGAAAGAUGAAAAUGUGCAGAUUUUAAAAUCUCUCAGGAUUGAACUCUUCAUUUCAAUGGAUCCUGCUACCUAGUUCUUGAGAGAUUAUUAUCUCUGGUGGGAUCCAAGGAAGGAAUAAGAGAUGCGCCCGGUUGUGAAUUAUUGUUGGAAGGCGAUGCAAACCUCGGAGAGCCAGAAAGGCAGCGAUGUGGCGAAUCAGACCUUGUGGGAGAAGAAGACACGAUCCUUCACGCCUCUUGUAACCACUCUUGAGUCAACCUCGCACUGUUGCUUCUUGUGCUAUCAUCAAACCCAACAUCGUCCUCAUCAUCCAAAACAACACUGCUACCACCAGUGAAGUCAUAGUUCUUCUUGUAAAUGUCAGCAGCCCCAAAAAACAUGUCGUUCAUGAAAUCCGUGAGGUCCGGUGCUGGUUCUGCCUUUUGCCGCGUCUCUAUCAUCCUCUUUUGUAGGCUCACACCACCUUUGCUUUCUCUAUUAAAUCUUCGCUCCAUAUCACUCAUUCUCUCUGAUGUAAUCAAGGAUAGUUAUAGUCUUAUAUAUAGAUAUAUGUAGCGAACUCGAUUAAUAUUGAGAAGUUGGGGAGAUGGUGUUAAAGGAAUAUAUAGCUAUAUUAAGGAUAUUGUGAUGAUGGGUAUAAACAUUCUCAACAUUGUAGCUGGAUGCAUAGAAAACAUCAGUUGGACUUUGCAUGUAAUAAGAAUUUUGGCCGGCGUACGUUGUGGCCAUGGUUCCUGACUUCCUGUCUUGUUCUUGGAGUGUUUGUCCGUGUUUCAUACAAUGCAUUCGGAUGUUAUU